rnacentral:tRNA from 1 species
AGAAACUUAGGUACACCCAAACCAAGGGCCUUCAAAGCCCUAAACAAGAGUAUACACCCUCUUAGUCUCUG